ensembl:lncRNA
CGAAGCUGUUCUGAGGGGCCUGUAACGGACCGACCAAGGAGCAUCGAAGCUGUUCUGAGGGGCCUGUAACGGACCGACCAAGGAGCACCGAAGCUGUUCUGAGGGGCCUGUAACGGACCAACCAAGGAGCACCGAAGCUGUUCUGAGGGGCCUGUAACGGACCAACCAAGGAGCACCGAAGCUGUUCUGAGGGGCCUGUAACGGCCCAACCAAGGAGCACCGAAGCUGUUCUGAGGGGCCUGUAACGGACCAACCAAGGAGCACCGAAGCUGUUCUGAGGGGCCUGUAACGGACCAACCAAGGAGCAUCGAAGCUGUUCUGGCUCCUGGUCGUCCAACGUCCUGUUAAAAACACUUGAUGUUGGUGUUUCCUUUAUUCAGUUACCUGCAUCUUCAAUACUCUAAUAUAUAAUCACAUAAUCAUAUUUAAAACACAACGCUUUUAUCCACAUUUUACAUACAGGUGGUCCCGUCUGGGUGCAUCCCAUAGGACACCCUAUUCCCUACAUAGCGCACUACUUUAGACCACUAGGUAGGGAAUAGGGGGACAUUUUGACAACUAGGUAGGGAAUAGGGGGCCAGUUUGACAACUAGGUAGGGAAUAGAGGGCCAUUUUGACCACUAGGUAGGGAAUAGGGGGCCAGUUUGACCACUAGGUAGGGAAUAGGGGGCCAGUUUGACCACUAGGUAGGGAAUAGAGGGCCAGUUUGACCACUAGGUAGGGAAUAGGGGGCCAGUUUGACCACUAGGUAGGGAAUAGGGGGCCAGUUUGACCGCUAGGUAGGGAAUAGGGGGCCAUUUUGACCACUAGGUAGGGAAUAGGGGGCCAGUUUGACCACUAGGUAGGGAAUAGGGGGCAUUUUGCAAGUAGCCUAUAUCUCUGUAAAUACAUUCCAUGUAGCUCUCAUUCAAUCAAUCUCCACCUGUCAUACAGUCACAAAUUAACUAUUUAGUCUAGCUCUAACCUGAGAGAGAGAGAGAGAGAGAGAGAGAGAGAGAGAGAGAGAGAGAGAGAGAGAGAGAGAGAGAGAGAGAGAGAGAGAGAGAGAGAGAGAGAGGAGAGAGAGAGAGAGAGACAGAGAGAGAAGGAGAGAGAGAGGGAGAGAGGAGGAGAGAGAGAGGGAGAGAGAGAGACAGAAAGAGUCAAAUAGAGAGUAGUUCUAGUAAUUAUAAGUUAAAGUGACAGAGUUCCUAAUCUGUCAGUUAGUUAGUUAGUUAUAGUAACCACAGUCGUAUAUCUAGCCAUAUAUUUAACAACAUGUUUCUCUAUAUAUGUGUCUGGUAGUAACCAUGGAGACAGGAGAAGUGUCUGGACUAAAACAGGACCUGACAGAAGCUGUACAAUAAGGAAGAAACAGACAAAACAUCAGAUAAAGGUCGAAGGUUAAAAGGCGACCUCGUUAGAUCUAGUGCUACUCAAACUUCGUGUUUUAAAUGGUCAAGAAAAGGUGAAAGUUCCUCCCGGGUGUUCCAGGAGAAAGGAAGGGACGUCACCUGCAGUGACGGGAGGCUGUCGCUGGGUGAAAGGUCAAAGGUGAUUAAAGGUGACAUGGUUAAAGGUCGACUAAUGGCAGAUAUAGUGUUCAGUGCCGGAGGUUCUGAUGAUGUCACACACAUAUCGUCUCCUAACAGACACACAGUACGGAAAAGGUCAACCGCUCACAGUUUCCACCAAUGGGUGGGUGAGGGAGGGAGAAGGUGGGGGGUCCGAUUGCAUAUCAUUCCGUACCAUGAUGUCACACUCUGACAUCAGGGGGGAGGGGCUACGGCUCCUCAGGGGGGAGGGGCUACAGCACAGCAG